GACGUACGCUGGCGGCGUGCUUAACACAUGCAAGUCGAACGAAGUGGCGAAAGGGUGUGUAAUACGUGGGUAAACUGCCCGCCUUUUGUGGAUAAGCCUUGGAAACGGGGUCGAAUACCGAAUAAUGGGGGGUGGGCUCGCGGCCUAUCUGCUUGUUGUCGGGGUGAUGGCGUACCAAGUCGGUGACGUGUAGCCGGCCCGAGAGGUUGACUGGCCACAUUGGGACUGAGAUACUGCCCAGGAUCUUACUGGAGGCGGCAGUGGGGGAUAUUGCACAAUGGGCGAAAGCCUGAAGGAGCGGAGCCGCGUGGGGGAUGAAGGCUUUCGGGUUGUAAACCUCUUUCGCUAUCGAACGGGUAGGUGGAGAAGAAGCGCCGGCUAACUACGUGCCAGCCGCCGCGGUAAUUC
rnacentral:rRNA from 1 species